GACGAACGCUGGCGGCGUGCUUAACACAUGCAAGUCGAACGGAAAGACCCUGCUUUUGUGGGUUGCUCGAGUGCCGAACGGGUGAGUAACACAUGAGUAACCUGCCCUUGACUUUGGGAUAACUUCAGGAAACUGGGGCUAAUACCGGAUAGGAGCUCCUGCUGCAUGGUGGGGGAUGGAAAGUUUCGGCGGUUGGGGAUGGACUGGCGGCUUAUCAGCUUGUUGGUGGGGUAGUGGCUUACCAAGCCUUUGACGGGUAGCCGGCCUGAGAGGGGUAACGGGCACAUGGGGACUGAGAGACGGCCCAGACGCAUACGGGAGGCAGCAGUGGGGAAUAUGGCGCAAUGGGCGGAAGCGUGAGACAGCAACGCCGCGUGCGGGAUGACGGCCUUCGAGGUGAAAACCGCUUUCGACUGUGACGAAGCGUGAGUGACGGUAAUGGGUAAAGAAGCACCGGCUAACUACGUG
rnacentral:rRNA from 1 species